GCUAGCAUGGUGUAGUGGUUUGAGCAUUGGACUAGGAAUCUGGAGACCAGGAUUCAAUUCCCAGUUUAGACA